AGCAUGGUGGUGAUCUCUCCCUCCCAGGCAACUGCAACUGAGUUUUGAUUGAUUCCACUUUUACAAGGCUCAAUAAGCCCAAGAUGCUAAUGGAGCCUUGUAAAAGUGGAAUCAAUCAAAACUCAGUUGCAGUUGCCUGGGAGGGAGAGAUCACCACCAUGCU
rnacentral:miRNA from 1 species